rnacentral:misc_RNA from 1 species
GGAGUUUUGGGUUGACGAAACCCUCUCUUUUUGGUUUAAAAUUUAGGCUAGGCACCUUUCCCUCCAAACCGCAGCGGCAAGGCCCCACACAACACUCGCUGUUACCUUUCCUUGGAAAAUGCAUGUCAAUCAAACUCAAAAAAAAUAAAUAAGUAAUGUCUGCUGAUAGUUGAUACGUUGCUUUAUCAAAGUCUUCCAUGGAGUGCAUUUUUAGUGAUAUUUUUCUUGGCAUCGGUGGAAGAAGACACCACCCCUUUCCCAUUUGAAACUUCAAAUAUCAAGGACUAGGCUUAACAUUGAGAAUUGUAGGUGCGUGGACUUCAGUGUCCAUAGGAUGGCUACUCCUUUUUUUAACGUAAAAGUUUUGCCUUAACAAGUUUCUUUGUUAGUCAAAGCCCAAAGGCAUCGCACAACGCACACACACACACAGCCACCGGAGAUCGAAUAAAGAGUGAGGUCCAAGUCAGAAAUAGAGUACAAAGAGACAUCUUGUCUUUCUUUUUUCUCGAAACAAAGCAAGAGAUAAAGAAAGAAAAGCACAUCAAGCUCAUUAUCACAAAUUAAACAAAGUUGAUGAAGAAUUAGAAAUUUAUCAAACCCCUUCAUCUGCCUUCCGGAUGCAAUGGGAAAAGCUCAAGAGUUCUAUCUCCUUCCUCUCUGCAUGACCUGCUUUCUUCUAAUUCCAGGCACUCAAAUGCCAAGCUCCUGCACUUUCUCUUGUAUGGACUGUCUUCGUCUCUCUCAACUUUUCCCCUCGUAUCCAAAGAUAUAGUGGUAAUGGGGCCUGGGGUUCUCGGACUAUGGCUUCGACCAAGGCCGUUGCGCUUCUGCUUUUGCCUUUCGCGGGCUUUGUGGUUUUGGAACCAGUAAAACACGUUUUUUCCUUCAAUCUUGCCGUAUCUGCCUAGUUGUGCAGUGAUUCGUUCUAUUUCCUGGGCAUUGGGAGUUUUCAUUCCUCCUCUAUAGAGCAUCUCCAAUAUCCCUAUUUGUUCUUGGGUUGGGUUCCACCGGGUCCCUCCUGCGUGUGUCUCCACCUGAGGUGAAUCUUUCUUCUCGUCAGAGGAUCCAAGCUUUCUAGAACCACUUUCAGGUCUAAUGAAGCUCUUGAGAUCGAACGAGGCGACACUAUCUGUGUUGGCCAGCUUAGGAGCAAGAGGGCGAAGACGCUUGCAACCAAGCGUGAGAGAGGGUUCGUGCUCCCAGAAUCCACGUGCCAACUGAUGCACCUUCAUGCUUCACAUGGUGGAGGAGUGAAAGAGAGAGAGCUGUAAUUAUAUAGAGGAUGCUAAAGAAAGUGGGAUAUGAGGUGGUGCUUACAAGAACCCAAGACCAAAUCAUGAGGGGAGGUUGACU